UAUACAUAUAAAAAACUUGCUUCCUUACCAAGUUCAAUGCUUUAAGUCAUGGUAAUUUCAACAAAUCUUUAAUUUAAAAAAAAACCCUGAACAGUCAGCUGUUCUUGCGGUUGCCUGUGCAGCACUAAAAAGCUACCUUUAGUUCUCUGUUGUAUUUAGGAUAUACUGAAUGUAUUUUAAUCAGCCAAGGCGAGCGCGUGGAACAACUGGCUCCCAUCACGAACAUUGGCGGGAGAUUAAUGGAGAGGUAAGUUAAGUUUACACUGUUUGUCAGUGUCACGAUUAGAUCGAUCUAAUCGGGACACUGGUCAUGACACCUGGUUAAAAAAACUGAACUGUAGACUGGCGGAUGGCUUCCACACAGCCUACAAUAGAAGCCAAGAACUGUCGUUCUAAAAAAAGAAUCAUCUCCCUUUUAUCUGUAGCAAUGUCUGGUUGUGCUCAAUAAAUGACUAAAUGAUCAGAGGCAAACAGGCGACCACAGGUCGUGUUCGCCACGUACACAGAAUAUUAUUAUGAACUUUUCUUUUUCUUCACACCCAGCAAUAAAUCUUCCUGUCAGCUGGAGAUCUUUAUGUAAAAGCUCUUGAGGUUUCAGGACUGUGACGUGCAACUGUUACAAAUAAACUAACUGUGAAUGUGCACUGAGUGGAAUUCACAAGAUAAUAAUUCACAAGAUCACUUCCUCUUUGUCCCCUCUUACAUAGUAUUGUUUCUGUUGUUCCAAUAAGAACACUUGGGUGUUUUUGGCAGUCAGUUUUGCGUGGUUGGAGGGGGAUCAUCCACUCUACCCUUUUUAUGUGAGUACAUCGAGAGCUGGUAGCUUAAAUAACUUGGAUGUUAACAGAGAGAGCGUCUGUCCUGAUAGCCGGUGUCUUUGGACCUUGGAUUUUCAUUGUCCCAUCUACACAUAGACAGCCUGACUAUGUUGCAGUUGUGUUGUAGUACAGUCCUCUGCAUGCUGCUGCUGGUCGCUGUUCUGGUCAAUGCCUAUGAAGACAUAAACAUCACAGCUGGACAGAACGUUAUUCUGACAUGUCGAGCUCCAAACUACAAUAUCAUAGUUGCAGAUUGGAGCAGAGCUGACCUGGGAUCAGAAUAUGUUCUUUUGUACCGGGAUGGAUGUUUUGAUCCAGAAAACCAGCAUCCAUCUUUUAAGAACCGGGUGGAUCUGCAGGACAGACAGAUGAAGGAUGGAGACGUGUCUUUGAUUCUGAAGAAUGUGACGAUUAAUGACACUGGAACAUACGAGUGUCGUGUCAUACACAGAAGAAAACACCGUGGAAAAAGAGCUGUUUUGAAAAAUAACCCCAUCAGCAUUAUCAGCCUGAGUGUUGUUGAUCCUCCAGGUGAGUGAGUAGAGUUGAGUGUGUGUGUGAUCAGAGGUGAAGCUGCUUCCUGGUUGUUGAUGUUUGUUUCUAAAGAUGUUGUUGAUGAGACUUUGUAGAAAGCAGCUGGUCUGAGUGAUGUGAUCAGAGUGCAGUAGAUAAUGUCUGACAGCAGUUUGAAGAGGAAAUGGAUUCUGUUCUGUUCUUCACUCAUCACCUACCUGACAGCUGACACCUCACACCUGUUUCUCACCUGCAGGUCAGACAGGAGGAGACACAGAGGAUGGAGGGAAGGAGGAUGGAGGGAAGAAGGAUGGAAGGAAAGAGGAUGGAGGACAUGGAGAGGAUGCAUCUGUUGGAUUGAAACUUGGCCUGUUACUUUCUGCUGUGCUUGCUGUUGUUGCUGUUUUGUUUUGUUUUUUUAUCUACAGAAGUUAUAAACAACAGAGUCGAGAUUCACAUCGUCCUUCUUCUGUACCGCUGUGUCUGAGAUCUUUCUACGGCCAAAGUCUGAAUCUCCUGUUUCUGAACACAGAGACAGAAAUCAAGUAAAAACAGACAACAAACUCUACUGGCUGUCAUACACGACACCCGUUUCAUCAGCACUGAGAGAGCAGCAGAACAUUUGGAGGCUGUUAAAUCUGUAUUUGAUUUUAGUUUUUAAAAACUGAGCAAACAGAAACAGGCCUUAAAGUUAUCGUGGAGUAUUAUUGAGGAGAAAGGGGGUGUGCUGCCACCUGUUGGUUGUAGUUUUUUUUACCGAUAGUCACUUGGACGAUGUUGCAGUUUAGUAUUGACUGUUAUUUACUGUAUAUUUUAUUAUCUAUUUUAAUCUUAAUAUUUAUUAUUAUUUAAUUUUCUUUGUCAUUUUAAUUGGUUUUAACUUCUAUCACAGUUUUUUACUGGAAAGUACUUUUGUCAACCUUGUUUUUAAAGUGCUCUAUAAAUAAAGUUGGAUUGGAU
rnacentral:lncRNA from 1 species